UUCCACAGCUACUGGUCUGCAGCUGUUGUAAUGGUAGCAGUUGUGGCAUUCCUCUGUGGGAAAGAAACUGUUGCACAAUUAAAUGCCUCUUUCUUAGCCAAAGAGAAAGUGGGCACAUGUGUGACAGACACAG
rnacentral:snoRNA from 1 species